rnacentral:rRNA from 1 species
UGGGGAAUCUUAGACAAUGGGGGAAACCCUGAUCUAGCCAUGCCGCGUGAGUGACGAAGGCCCUAGGGUCGUAAACCUCUUUUCUUAGGGAAGAAGAAAGUGACGGUACCUAAGGAAUCAGCAUCGGCUAACUCCGUGCCAGCAGCCGCGGUAAUACGGAGGAUGCAAGCGUUAUCCGGAAUUAUUGGGCGUAAAGCGUCCGCAGGUGGCACUUCAAGUCUGCUGUCAAAGACCAGAGCUCAACUCUGGGCAGGCGGUGGAAACUGGGGAGCUAGAGUACGGUAGGGGUAGAGGGAAUUUCCAGUGUAGCGGUGAAAUGCGUAGAGAUUGGAAAGAACACCAGUGGCGAAGGCGCUCUACUGGACCUGUACUGACACUAAGGGACGAAAGCUAGGGGAGCGAAAGGGAUUAGAUACCCCCGUAGUCC